ACCGAAAUAGUUCAGUUGGGAGAGCUUUAGACUAAAUAGAAGGGUCCCUGGUUCGAUCCAGGGAUUCGGCA
rnacentral:tRNA from 1 species